GUGUGUGUGUGUGUGUGUGUAUUUAGCAGUCUGUGUGUGUAUUCAGCAGACUGUGUACUCAGCAGUCUGUGUGUGUAUUUAGCAGUCUGCUAAAUACAGACAGACUGCUAAGUACACAGACAGACUG
rnacentral:miRNA from 1 species